GGUCAAGGCCCCAUUUCAUCAGCACAUAACGGCGAUGAUGAUGAGGAGACCAUCUCUCUGGAUUCCAGAAGGCAUAAGGACCCAGUGUCAUUGGUGGACUGGACUGCACACACAUAAGGAUAAAAGCCCCCUCAGGUGCACAUGAGGCAGAUUUUGUAAGUAUGAAAUCUUUUCACAGCAUUAAUGUUCAGGUGAACAUAACUUUUUGAUCUUUUCCAUUGAACACUGGCAAAAUGACCUGGCUCAGUCCAUGACUCCAGAAUCUUUCGGACCUCUGAAAUCUAUCAGCGCCUAUCACAAGGUGAAUUCUCUGGUGUGUUGCUGGCAGACAGGGGGUAUGGCUGCCAACCUUUUUCCUGACACCUUUCACAGACCCCCAGGAAGCACAGCAGGCCUACAACUAUGCCUAUGCCAGGACCAGGCCCAGAGUUGAAAUGACCUUUGGCCUCCUGAAGGCACACUCUCACUGCUUUCACAAAUUAAGGGUCAGCCCUGUGAGGGCAUAUGACAAUACUGUAGCUUGUGCUGUCCUCCACAAUGUGGCCUGCCUGAGGAAGGAGAGGGCAUUUGUCCUGCAUUUAUUUCAGUGUGCAGACAUGCAGGGUGUGUUAUA